rnacentral:rRNA from 1 species
UCAGGCCUAACACAUGCAAGUCGAGCGGUAGAGAUUCUUCGGAAUCUUGAGAGCGGCGUACGGGUGCGGAACACGUGUGCAACCUACCUUUAUCUGGGGGAUAGCCUUUCGAAAGGAAGAUUAAUACCCCAUAAUAUAUUGAUUGGCAUCAAUCGAUAUUGAAAACUCCGGUGGAUAGAGAUGGGCACGCGCAAGAUUAGCUAGUUGGUGAGGUAACGGCUCACCAAGGCAAUGAUCUUUAGGGGGCCUGAGAGGGUGAUCCCCCACACUGGUACUGAGACACGGACCAGACUCCUACGGGAGGCAGCAGUGAGGAAUAUUGGACAAUGGGUGCAAGCCUGAUCCAGCCAUCCCGCGUGAAGGACGACUGCCCUAUGGGUUGUAAACUUCUUUUGUACAGGGAUAAACCUACCCUCGUGAGGGU